rnacentral:rRNA from 1 species
CCCUUCGGGGCGCCCCAGGCGCGAAAACUUUACCCUGUUGGAAACCGUGAUAAGGGGACACCGAGUGCCAGCAUCAUAUGCUGGCUGUCCAGGUGUGUAAACUACACCUGUUAGCAAGGGCCGGGCAAGACCGGUGCCAGCCGCCGCGGUAACACCGGCGGCCCGAGUGGUGAUCUUGAUUAUUGGGUCUAAAGGGUCCGUAGCCGGUUUGGUCAGUCCUCCGGGAAAUCUGACGGCUCAACCGUUAGGCUUUCGGGGGAUACUGCCAGGCUUGGAACCGGGAGAGGUAAGAGGUACUACAGGGGUAGGAGUGAAAUCUUGUAAUCCCUGUGGGACCACCUGUGGCGAAGGCGUCUUACCAGAACGGGUUCGACGGUAAGGGACGAAAGCUGGGGGCACGAACCGGAUUAGAUACCCGGGUAGUCCCAGCCGUAAACGAUGCUCGCUAGGUGUCAGGCAUGGCGCGACCGUGUCUGGUGCCGCAGGGAAGCCGUGAAGCGAGCCACCUGGGAAGUACGGCCGCAAGGCUGAAACUUAAAGGAAUUGGCGGGGGAGCAC